rnacentral:rRNA from 1 species
GACGAACGCUGGCGGCGUGCUUAACACAUGCAAGUCGAGCGGUAAGGCCCUUUCGGGGGUACACGAGCGGCGAACGGGUGAGUAACACGUGGGUGACCUGCCCUCAGCUCUGGGAUAAGCCUGGGAAACUGGGUCUAAUACUGGAUAUGACUCCACGGUGCAUGUCGUGGGGUGGAAAGCCUUGUGCGGCUGAGGAUGGGCCCGCGGCCUAUCAGCUUGUUGGUGGGGGAUGGCCUACCAAGGCGACGACGGGUAGCCGGCCUGAGAGGGCGACCGGCCACACUGGGACUGAGACACGGCCCAGACUCCUACGGGAGGCAGCAGUGGGGAAUCUUGCGCAAUGGGCGAAAGCCUGACGCAGCGACGCCGCGCGAGGGAUGACGGCCU